AAUUCCUCAAGGCCCAUCUCAAUCAUGAUUGAUUGAGGCAUGUGUCUUGGAUUUGGAGGAUUGUUUGCAGGUCAUGGGGGUUUCUGUGAUCUGCUCCUCUUCAAUAUCGCAGCAAAGGCUCUCGCGACGGGCCUUUCCCCUUGGUGUUUGUAGUUUUCACCCUACGCCGUGGGUUGUCCGUCGCCCCUUGUCCUCCUCGUUCUUGAGGUGUGAGAGGGCCUGGCUUCUAAUGGUCUGUGAUGAAUGGACAACUGCUCAACCA
rnacentral:misc_RNA from 1 species